UACGUAGGGUGCGAGCGUUAAUCGGAAUUACUGGGCGUAAAGCGUGCGCAGGCGGUUCGUUAAGUCUGAUGUGAAAUCCCCAGGCUCAACCUGGGAACUGCAUUUGAAACUCCCUUUCUUGAGUACCGGAGAGGAAAGUGGAAUUCCUGGUGUAGAGGUGAAAUUCGUAGAUAUCAGGAGGAACACCAGUGGCGAAGGCGGCUCUCUAGUACGGUACUGACGCUGAGACGCGAAAGCGUGGGGAGCGAACAGG
rnacentral:rRNA from 1 species